ACAAACACACACACACAGUCAGACACACACACAUACACAAACACAGUCAGACACAAACACACACACACAUACACAAACAGACAAACAGUCAGACACAAACACACACACACAUACACAAACACACACACUCACAAACAGUCAGAUACACACACACACUCACAAACACAGUCAGACACACACAGAGUCAGACACAAACACACACACAGUCAGACACAUACACAGACACAAACACAGUCAGACAAACACACACACAGUCAGACACAUACACAGACACAUACACAGACACAUACA